rnacentral:rRNA from 1 species
AACCGAGAACUCCUACGGGAGGCAGCAGUGGGAAAUAUUGGACAAUGGGCGAAAGCCUGAUCCAGCAAUGCCGCGUGAGUGAUGAAGGCCUUAGGGUUGUAAAGCUCUUUUACCCGGGAUGAUAAUCACAGUACCGGGAGAAUAAGCCCCGGCUAACUCCGUGCAGCAGCCGCGGUAAUACGGAGGGGGCUAGCGUUGUUCGGAAUUACUGGGCGUAAAGCGUGCGCAGGCGGUUGUGUAAGUCAGAUGUGAAAUCCCCGGGCUCAACCUGGGAAUUGCAUUUGAGACUGCACGGCUAGAGUGUGUCAGAGGGGGGUAGAAUUCCACGUGUAGCAGUGAAAUGCGUAGAUAUGUGGAGGAAUACCGAUGGCGAAGGCAGCCCCCUGGGAUAACACUGACGCUCAUGCACGAAAGCGUGGGGAGCAAACAGGAUUAGAUACCCGUGUAGUCCGACUGAGA